GACGCGGUGGCCGAGUGGUUAGGCAGGGACCCAGCAAGUUCCCCCACGCCGGUUCGAAUCCGGUCCGCGUCU
rnacentral:tRNA from 1 species